GUAGGCAUCUUGCAGCUAGGGAGGCUGAGACCUUGCCCUAGUCCAGGGCAGCCCCUUAGGGUCAGCUCGACCUCUGCCUGCUUCCCUGGACCCCACACCAGGCCGGGUUGGCUUCCUGGCUCUGAUACAUGAUUUCCUGUUUCCCAUCCAGACCUAGAGCCACCUCAGGGGUCCCCAGCAUUCUGUGGGUGCUCAGUGCUUUGCACAGUCCACAGGCGGGGCUGUUUCAUUCCCGAGUAACAGUAACACACAAAGAAACUGAGGCAAGGAGAGUUGGAGGGCUCGGAGCUGCAGAGCUAGCCUCUGCAAUGGCUGCAUGCCAGGCCUCUGCCCUGCACUUUCCAGGGUGCCUCUCUGCUACAGGCCUGCCUGGGCCCUAGGCCUCCUCCUCAGCAGCCUCAGGAGCACUCUGUCCCUCUGCCUGACCUCUGCACAUACUCUUCCCUUUGUACAUUUGAAAGGCUAUCUGACAGGCCUAGUACACAGAAAGCUUCAUGAAUACCUAGUAUGGGUUAGGUAGAAUGAGGUCUGACCAUGAGGGCAGGGCAGGACCCCCAGGGGGCAGGGCCCAAGCUGCACUUCCCUGUGCUGUUCUCCAGUCCUUCAUCCUGUCUGGGCUCUUACUCCUGGCUGCCAGCCUAUGAUGGGCACCUUGGCUGGUGUUGCAGUGGCCCUGGGAUGCGUACAGGGCAUGGUGGAGCCUGCUCCCCUGUGUGUGUCCUGUACAAACAGAUGAUACUCACUAAGUGUUGCCCAACCCAAGGGAAGCCCUGGAAUGCACAGGAAGGAGGAGACCCACCAUUCAUCAGCUGUUGCUAGACCUCCUGAACAGCAGCAAACAGGCCAGUAUCUGUGGUCAGCAAUGCAACUGAGUAUGUCCUCGGCCUACCAUCCCUCCCAAGGCUGCAACUAGUAUAGUCAGUGCUGUGGUCCCCACGUGAAGCCCUACCUGGGGCUGGGUCUGCUGCCAAGCUCACCCAUGGCCACUGGCACAAUGCAGUUUCUUUUGGGCUCUUGUACAGGGUCUUGCCAGCAUGGCAACUUGCCUCAUCAGAGCCAGCAGAGGGCAGGAGGCUUCCAUUAAGAUGGCGGGGGUGAGGCUGGGGAUGUGGCUCAAGCGGGUAACCGGCUCGCCUGGCAUGUGUGGGGGGGU
rnacentral:lncRNA from 1 species